UACGUAGGGACCGAGCGUUGUCCGGAAUCAUUGGGCGUAAAGAGCGUGUAGGCGGCCAAUUAAGUCCUGCGUGAAAUCUCGGGGCUCAACCCCGAGCGGUCGUGGGAAACUGGUUGGCUAGAGUGCGGGAGAGGAGAGUGGAAUUCCUGGUGUAGCGGUGAAAUGCGCAGAUAUCAGGAAGAACACCCGUGGCGAAGGCAGGUCUCUGGGCCACUACUGACGCUGAGAAGCGAAAGCAUGGGGAGCGAACAGG
rnacentral:rRNA from 1 species